rfam:Betaproteobacteria bacterium RIFCSPLOWO2_12_FTLL_63_13 rifcsplowo2_12_scaffold_7741, whole genome shotgun sequence.
UGUCUCCUCCACCCUCCUCCUUUGGUGGAUUCAGCGCAACCUCCGCGGUUGCGCUAUUUUUU